rnacentral:rRNA from 2 species
UACAGAGGGUGCAAGCGUUGCUCGGAAUCAUUGGGCGUAAAGGGCAAGUAGGUGGUCUCAUUUGUCUAGGGUGAAAUCCUUGAGCUUAACUCAAGAAGUGCCCUAGAAACGGUGGGACUAGAGUUCUGGAGAGGGUCGUGGAAUUCCCGGUGUAGCGGUGAAAUGCGUAGAGAUCGGGAGGAACACCAGAGGCGAAGGCGGCGACCUGGACAGACACUGACACUCAACUGCGAAAGCGUGGGGAGCAAACAGG